rnacentral:misc_RNA from 1 species
UUUCCGUAGGUGAACCUGCGUAAGGAUCAUUAGUGGAGAUUGCGUGUGCCGUCGGCGGUGGCAUUGCUGCUGCUGCGGACGGCCACCACACCAUCGACACCGUGCACGUGGAUGGGCCGGUCGCUCGCUGGCGACAGCUGACUACCCACCCCUCUCUACAACACACCCCUGGACACGCAUGUCGUCUGUGCACACACAGACACCAUCAAUGCAAAAAUACGCAACUUUCAACAGCGGAUCUCUUGGCUCUCGCAUAGAUGAAGAACGCAGC